rnacentral:lncRNA from 1 species
UGGCCACCCUAGCUUUGUCAUGUCAUGCUCUUUCACCAACCAGGUGAUCGCCCAGCUCGAGCUGUGGAAGGAGAAGGCAACCGGCAAGUACGAGAAGAAGGUGUACGUUUUGCCUAAGCACCUUGAUGAGAAGGUGGCUGCUCUUCACCUUGGAAAGCUUGGGGCUAACCUCACCAAGCUCACCAAGGAUCAGGCUGACUACAUUAGCGUCCCCAUUGAGGGUCCUUACAAGCCUCCUCACUACAGGUACUGAGGAGAGAAUACGAGAGAGAGAGAGGGAGAGAGUUGGACUAGAAAAAGGAACCAUACAACGGGAUGGUUUGAUUGUUUGU